CCUACGGGGGGCUGCAGUGAGGAAUAUUGGUCAAUGGACGAGAGUCUGAACCAGCCACGUAGCGUGAAGGAUGACUGCCCUAUGGGUUGUAACCUCCUUUUAUAUGGGAAUAAAAUAGGUUAUGUAUACCCUCUUGUAUGUACCAUAUGUACAAGGAUAGGCUAACUCCGUGCCAGCAGCCGCGGUAAUACGGAGGAUACGAGCGUUAUACGGAUUUAUAGGGUUGAAAGGGUGCGUAGGUGGAUUGUUAAGUCAGUUGUGAAAGUUUGCGGCUCAACCGUAAAAUUGCAGUUGAAACUGGCAGUCUUGAGUACAGUAGAGGUGGGCGGAAUUCGUGGUGUAGCGGUGAAAUGCUUAGAUAUCACGAAGAACUCCGAUUGCGAAGGCAGCUCACUGGACUGCAACUGACACUGAUGCUCGAAAGUGUGGGUAUCAAACAGGAUUAGAUACCCUUGUAGUC
rnacentral:rRNA from 1 species